UACGUAGGAGACGAGCGUUGUCCGGAGUUACUGGGCGUAAAGGGUGCGCAGGUGGCGGCGCGCGUGGGGGGUGAAAUCGCCCGGCUUAACUGGGCGGGGCCUUCCAGACGGCGUGGCUUGAGCAGCGGAGGGGGACGUGGAAUUCCGGGUGGAGCGGUGAAAUGCGUAGAGAUCCGGAGGAACACCGACGGCGCAGGCAGCGUCCUGGCCGCUUGCUGACAC
rnacentral:rRNA from 1 species